UACGUAGGGGGGCAAGCGUUGUCCGGAAUCAUUGGGCGUAAAGAGCGUGUAGGCGGCCAGAUAAGUCCGCUGUGAAAUCUCGAGGCUCAACUUCGAGCUGUCGGUGGAAACUGUCUGGCUAGAGUCCGGAAGAGGAGAAUGGAAUUCCUGGUGUAGCGGUGAAAUGCGCAGAUAUCGGGAGGAACACCGGCGGCGAAGGCGGCCCUCUGGACGGUGACUGACGCUAAGACGCGAAAGCGUGGGGAGCAAACAGG
rnacentral:rRNA from 1 species